UAAUAGCGUAUAUUUAAGUUGUUGCAGUUAAAAAGCUCGUAGUUGGAUUUCGGUUAAGAGCGACCGGUCCGCCGUUUGGUGUGCACUGGUUGGUUUUAACUUCCUGUAGAGGACGUGCUCUGGGUUUAACGACCUGGACUCGGAGUCUACGUGGUUACUUUGAAAAAAUUAGAGUGUUCAAAGCGGGCUUACGCUUGAAUAUUUCGGCAUGGAAUAACACUAUAGGACUCCUGUCCUAUUUCGUUGGUCUCGGGACGGGAGUAAUGAUUAAGAGGAACAGUUGGGGGCAUUCGUAUUUCAUUGUCAGAGGUGAAAUUCUUGGAUUUAUGAAAGACGAACUUCUGCGAAAGCAUUUGCCAAGGAUGUUUUCAUUAA
rnacentral:rRNA from 1 species